GCCCGCUUAGCUUAGUGGUAAAAGCGUGCCUGCAGUGCCGUCUCCUAAGAAAAUAUCCUUUAGAACAGCAUCUGUUAAAGGUGAGAUCAUCAGUUCGAUCCUGAUAGUGGGUA